GUAUUUGUAGAGAGGAGAGCUGGUUGGCAUCUCCCCAGACAGGGACGAGAAUGACUGUCGGGCUUGUCUUUACACGCGGGGUUAAGGCUUUCUGCUUCGGUAGACCUUAUCCAAAAUUUUUU